AAUGCAGCAAUAGCUUCAUCACUGUAGCAAAAAGAUAAAAUCGUAAAAAGAUGAUAACAUUUUUGUAAAGACUACAAUGUACAAACAGCAUAACACAAACCAGUAUAAACACUGAAAAACAGGCUAAUGAUAUUUACUUUAACAUGGCUAGAAUGAUUUGCAACUGGCAUGCUUGAGAGUGCAUGGAAGAAGAUGACCCUAUCCUAUAACCUUAAAUAUAGGGCAGCAAUUUGAUAAAUGACUAUUAAAGAUAACCCCAGUUUCAGCUGAG
rnacentral:misc_RNA from 1 species